rnacentral:ncRNA from 1 species
GCCUUACCAUCAACUCUCCCUAAACUUACACAUGCAAGUCUCAGCACACCCGUGAGGACACCCUUUCCCCUACACCAGAUCUAGGAGCUGGCAUCAGGCAUUAAACCUACCCAUUACGCCUAGUCCCACCACGCCCACAAGGGCCUUCAGCAGUGAUAAAUAUUGUUCAUAAGCGACAGCUUGACUCAGUUAUAGAGAAAAGAGCUGGCUAACUCGGUGCCAGCCGCCGCGGCUAAACCGCACGAGCCCAAGUUGAUGAUUAUCGGCGUUAAGCGUGAUUAAAGACCCCCAUCAAUUAGAGUAGAACCUACACUCAGCUGUGACAAGCUUCUGUUAGAGAAAAAUAUAAACGAAAGUUACUCUAAUUUACUUGAAUACACGACAGUCGGGAAACAAACUGGGAUUAGAUACCCCACUAUGCCCCACCGUAAAAUAUUAACUUACACUUACAACGCCAGGGUAUUACGAGCCUCAGCUUAAAACCCAAAGGACUUGACGGUGUCCCACCCAACUAGAGGAGCCUGUUCUAUAAUCGAUAACCCCCGAUAUACCCAACCCCAUUUUGCAAAUCAGCCUGUAUACCUCCGUCGCAAGCUUACCAUAUGAAUGCCAAUAGUAAGUUUAAUGGUAGUACACCAACACGUCAGGUCAAGGUGCAGCUCAUGAUAGGGCAAGCAAUGGGCUACAAUUUCUAAUAUAGAAUAUACAGAAUGCUACAUGAAACACAACAUGAAGGCGGAUUUAGCAGUAAAAAUGAAAUAACGUGUCAUUUUUAACAAGGCCCUGGGACGUGUACACACCGCCCGUCACCCUCUUCAAUUAUACUCAAUAUGUCUAUUACAACCUAAUAUAUCCUAGAAGAGGCAAGUCGUAACAUGGUAAGUGUACCGGAAGGUGCGCUUGGAUUACCAAAAUAUAGCUUAAACAAAGCCUCUCGCUUACACCGAGAAAACAUCCAUGAAAACCGGAUUAUUUUGAGCCCAAGAUCAAGCCUAACCCUAACCUCAUGUACUUCCCCCUUCUUCCAAACUUUAAUAAAACAUUUUAUCAGUUUAGUAUAGGCGAUUAAAAAACUUAUUAGCGCUUUAUUAUAAGUACCGCAAGGGAAAGAUGAAAUAGCUUUGAAAUAGUUUUUAAGCAAAAUAUAGCAGAGAUCACCUCUCGUACCUUUUGCAUCAUGGUCUAGCUAGUCUCCCCCAAGCAAAGCGAAACAUCAGUUUGACCCCCCGAAACUAGGCGAGCUACUUUGAAACAGCUCAAUGGAGCCAACCCAUCUCUGUUGCAAAAGAGUGGGAUGAUUUUUAAGUAGAGGUGAAAAGCCUAACGAGCUUAGAGAUAGCUGGUUAUUCAGGAAAAGAAUUUUAGUUCAACCUUAAGUUUUUCUAUUACCCCACAAAAUUGCCCCAAACUUAAGAGCCAUUCAAAUAAGGCACAGCUUAUUUGAAAAAGGAUACAACCUAUGAAAAGGGGUAAAAAAUAUUAUACAAACCAAGUUGGCCUGAAAGCAGCCACCUUUAAGAAAGCGUUAAAGCUCUUUUUUAUUUUCUUAAUAAUUCCUCUAAAUACAUUAAACCCUUUAUCACUACUGAAUGAUUCUAUAACUUAUAGAAGCCCUGAUACUAGAACUAGUAACAAGAAAUAGUAUUUCUCCAAAAUAUAAACACAAGCCUAAAUGGACAAACCACUGGCAGUUAACGUAUAUAAAAUCACUGUAGUAACCCCCACAAGAGAAUCCUACAAAUACAAACGUUAACCUUACACAAGUAUAUUUCAGGAAAGAUUAAAAGAAAGGGAAGGAACUCGGCAAAUCUCAACCCCGCCUGUUUACCAAAAACAUCGCCUCUUGAUAAAUUAUAAGAGGUCCAGCCUGCCCAGUGAUUUAAUUAAACGGCCGCGGUACCCUGACCGUGCGAAGGUAGCAUAAUCACUUGUUCUUUAAAUAAGGACUAGUAUCAACGGCAUCACGAGGGUUCUACUGUCUCCCCUCUCUAAUCAGUGAAACUGACUUCCCCGUGAAGAGGCGGGGAUACAACUACAAGACGAGAAGACCCCAUGGAGCUUUAAACCCACUAACAAUCUCUGGCCAAACACACCCACGCAAAUGAAGAAUAGUGUACAGUGGUUUUAGGUUGGGGUGACCACGGAGUAGAACUAAACCUCCAUGACGAACGGAAAUUCAUCCUAAUCCACGAGCUACCGCUCUAAGAAUCAAAAAACUUGACAUAAAAUGAUCCGGUAACCGAUCAACGAACCAAGUUACCCUGGGGAUAACAGCGCAAUCCAUUUCAAGAGCCCCUAUCGACAAAUGGGUUUACGACCUCGAUGUUGGAUCAGGGUAUCCUAGUGGUGCAGCCGCUACUAAAGGUUUGUUUGUUCAACAAUUAAAACCCUACGUGAUCUGAGU